rnacentral:rRNA from 1 species
GGGCAAUGGGCGAAAGCCUGACCCAGCAACGCCGCGUGAGGGAUGAAGGCCUUCGGGUCGUAAACCUCUUUUCUCAGGGAAGAAAAAAAUGACGGUACCUGGGGAAUAAGUCUCGGCUAACUACGUGCCAGCAGCCGCGGUAAUACGUAGGAGGCGAGCGUUAUCCGGAUUUAUUGGGCGUAAAGAGAGCGUAGGCGGUUUGUCAAGUCGGAUGUGAAAUCUCCCGGCUCAACUGGGAGGAGUCAUUCGAUACUGAUGGGCUAGAGUGCAGCAGGGGAAAACGGAAUUCCCGGUGUAGUGGUGAUAUGCGUAGAUACCGGGAGGAACACCAGAGGCGAAGGCGGUUUUCUAGGCUGUUUCUGACGCUGAGGCUCAAAAGCGUGGGGAGCGAACAGGAUUAGAUACCCUGGUAGUCCACGCCGUAAACGAUGGACACUAGGUAUAGGGAGUAUCGACCCUCUCUGUGCCGAA